rnacentral:rRNA from 1 species
CCUACGGGAGGCAGCAGUAGGGAAUAUUGCUCAAUGGGGGAAACCCUGAAGCAGCAACGCCGCGUGGAGGAUGAAGGUUUUCGGAUUGUAAACUCCUUUUGUUAGAGAAGAUAAUGACGGUAUCUAACGAAUAAGCACCGGCUAACUCCGUGCCAGCAGCCGCGGUAUACGGAGGGUGCAAGCGUUUAGCGGAAGCACUUGGCGUAAAGAACGCGUAGGCGGGAUAGCAAGGCAGAUGUGAAAUCCUAUGGCUUAACCAUAGAACUGCAUUUGAAACUGUUAUUCUAGAGUAUGGGAGAGGUAGGUGGAAUUCUUGGUGUAGGGGUAAAAUCCGUAGAGAUCAAGAGGAAUACUCAUUGCGAAGGCGACCUGCUAGAACAUAACUGACGCUGAUGCGCGAAAGCGUGGGGAGCAAACAGGAUUAGAUACCCCUGUAGUC